rnacentral:lncRNA from 1 species
CAUAGUGGAGGCCUACAGACUGGAGACAUUACAUCAUAGUGGAGGCCUACAGACUGGAGACAUUACAUCAUAGUGGAGGACUACGGACUGGGGACAUGACAUUAUAGUGGAAGACUACAGACAUGGCAACAUAGUGGAGGCCUACAUACUGGAGACAUGACAUCAUAGUGGAGGACUCCAGACUGGAGACAUGACAUCAUAGUGAAGGCCUACAGACUGGAGACCUACAGACUGGAGACAUGACAACAUAGUGGAGUCCUGCAGACUGGAGUCAUGAUAACAUAGUGGUGACCUACAGACUGGAGACAUGACAUCAUAGUGGAGGACUACAGACUGGAGACAUGACAACAUAGUGGAGGCCUGCAGACUGGAGUCAUGACAACAUAGGGGGGGCCUACAGACUGGAGAUAUGACAACAUAGUGGAGGCCUACAGACUGCAGACAUGACAUCAUAGCGGAGGCCUACAGACUGGAGACAUGACAUCAUAGUGGAGGACUACAGACUGGAGACAUGACAACAUAGUGGAGGCCUGCAGACUGGAAACAUGACAACAUAGUGGAGGCCUAGAGACUGGAGUCAUGAAAACAUAGGGGGGACCUACAGACUGGCGACAUGACAACAUAGUGGAGGCCUACCGACUGGAGACAUGACAACAUAGUGGAGGCUUACAGACUGAAGACCUAUUGAUUGGAGACAUGACAACAUAGUGGAGGUCAACAGACUGGAGACCAGCAGACUGGAGGCAUUACAUCAUAGUGGAGGACUACGGACUGGGGACAUGACAUCAUAGUGGAGGCCUACAGACUGGAGACCAGCAGACUGGAGACAUGACAUCAUAGUGGAGGCCUACAGACUGGAGACCAGCAGACUGGAGUCAUGACAACAUAGUGGAGGCCUGCAGACUGGGUAUAUCACAACAUAGAGGAGACCUACAGACUGGAGACAUUACAACAUAGUGGAGGCCUGCAGACUGGGGAUAUGACAACAAAGUGGAGGCCUACAGACUGGAGACAUUACAAAGUAGUGGAGGCCUGCAGACUGGAGGCCUGCAGUCUGGAGACAUGACAAUAUAGUGUAGGCCUACAAACUGGAGACAUUACAUCAUAGUGGAGGACUACGGACUGGGGACAUGACAUUAUAGUGGAGGACUACGGACUGGGGACAUGACAUUAUUGUGGAAGACUACAGACAUGCCAACAUAGUGGAGGCCUACAGACUGGAGACAUUACAUCAUAGUGGAAGCCUACAGACCAGAGACAUUACAUCAUAGUGGAGGCCUACAGACUGGAGACAUUACAUCAUAGUGGAGGCCUACAGACUGGAGACAUUACAAUAUAGUGAAGACUACAGACUGGAGACAGGACAACAUAGUGGAGGCCUACAGACGAGUCAUGACAACAUAGGGGAGGCCUACAGACUGGAGACAUUACAAUAUAGUGAAGACUACAGACUGGAGACAGGACAACAUAGUGGAGGCCUACAGACGAGUCAUGACAACAUAGGGGAGGCCUACAGACUGGAGACAUGACAACAUAGUGGAUGCCUACAGACUGGAGACAUGACAACAUAGUGGAGGCCUACAGACUGGAGACAUGACAACAUAGUGGAGGCCUACAGACUGGAGUCAUGACAACAUAGGGGGGGCCUACAGACUGGAGACAUGACAACAUAGUGGAAGCUAACAGACUGAAGACCUAUUGAUUGGAGACAAGACAACAUAGUGGAG